rnacentral:sRNA from 1 species
UUGUAUGCAAAACCCAUCCCUCUGGCGCAAGCCCAGCCCCUCUCCUAGGGAGACUGCAGAACCACACUGAACCACAGUGGGAUGCAUGGACCCUCUUCCAGGUAGAUCAUGCCACUAAUCGUACCCAGUUUGGGGAGAAAAUUCACAACUUUGGGCUGAUCCAGGAGAAGCUGGCACGGAUGGUUAUGCUGCAGUAUGUAACUGAGUCCAUGGCUUACAUGGUGAGUGCUAACAUGGACCAGGGAGCCACGGACUUCCAGAUAGAGGCCGCCAUCAGCAAAAUCUUUGGCUCGGAGGCAGCCUGGAAGGUGACAGAUGAAUGCAUCCAAAUCAUGGGGGGUAUGGGCUUCAUGAAGGUACAGGACGGUCUUCUGCAGAGCCUCGGCUGGGCCAGGGGUGGGUAGGCACAUCUCAGCACGGGCAUAUAAUUUGUGUGGCCCUGUGCUAGGAACCUGGAGUAGAGCGUGUGCUCCGAGAUCUUCGCGUCUUCCGGAUCUUUGAGGGGACAAAUGACAUUCUUCGGCUGUUUGUGGCUCUGCAGGGCUGUAUGGUAAGAGAGAGAAUUGGGUGGGGGUAGAGGUGGGGAGGACAGUGAGUCCUGACUGCUGGACCCUCUUCCCCCAUAGGACAAAGGAAAGGAGCUCUCUGGGCUUGGCAGUGCUCUAAAGAAUCCCUUUGGGAAUGCUGGCCUCCUGCUAGGAGAGGCAGGCAAACAGCUGAGGCGGUAGGCUUAGGGCCAGAGCCAGGGGAGGGCAGGGUGGUGUAUGGCAACUAACCAGUCAUUCUCCCUCUUCCUCUCAGGCGGGCAGGGCUGGGCAGCGGCCUGAGUCUCAGUGGACUUGUCCACCCAGAGUUGAGUCGGAGCGGCGAGCUGGCAGUACAGGCUCUGGAGCAGUUUGCCACUGUGGUGGAGGCCAAGCUGAUAAAACACAAGAAGGGGAUUGUCAAUGAACAGUUUCUGCUGCAGCGGCUGGCAGACGGGGCCAUCGACCUCUAUGCCAUGGUGGUGGUUCUCUCGAGGGCCUCAAGAUCCCUGAGUGAGGGCCACCCCACGGCCCAGCAUGAGAAAAUGCUCUGUGACACCUGGUGUAUCGAGGUGAGACUCGGGGCUGCCAAGCUCAGGUGAGGGCUAGAGGUGCAGGCCCAACCCCUCCUUCCCUCUCCCCAGGCUGCAGCUCGGAUCCGAGAGGGCAUGGCCGCCCUGCAGUCUGACCCCUGGCAGCAAGAGCUCUACCGCAACUUCAAAAGCAUCUCCAAGGCCUUGGUGGAGCGGGGUGGUGUGGUCACCAGCAACCCACUUGGCUUCUGAAUACUCCCGGCCAGGGCCUGUCCCAGUUAUGUGCCUUCCCUCAAGCCAAAGCCGAAGCCCCUUUCCUUAAGGCCCUGGUUUGUCCCGAAGGGGCCUAGUGUUCCCAGCACUGUGCCUGCUCUCAAGAGCACUUACUGCCUCGCAAAUAAU